AUUGAACGCUGGCGGCAUGCCUUACACAUGCAAGUCGAACGGCAGCACGGGAGCAAUCCUGGUGGCGAGUGGCGAACGGGUGAGUAAUAUAUCGGAACGUGCCCAGUAGUGGGGGAUAGCCCGGCGAAAGCCGGAUUAAUACCGCAUACGACCUGAGGGUGAAAGCGGGGGAUCGCAAGACCUCGCGCUAUUGGAGCGGCCGAUAUCAGAUUAGCUAGUUGGUGGGGUAAAGGCCUACCAAGGCUACGAUCUGUAGUUGGUCUGAGAGGACGACCAGCCACACUGGGACUGAGACACGGCCCAGACUCCUACGGGAGGCAGCAGUGGGGAAUUUUGGACAAUGGGCGCAAGCCUGAUCCAGCAAUGCCGCGUGCAGGAAGAAGGCCUC
rnacentral:rRNA from 1 species